ensembl:processed_transcript 5530601H04Rik uncharacterized LOC110287359
CCGCGGUACAGUACGGCCUGAGCAUUUUGUUCCAGCACCGGUGUGAGGAAAACAUCUGAGCCCAUGAAUUGCCAGAUCCUGGAUACCAGAGACACAUCGUCUUGCUUCUCAGGUUUGGAGUACAUAAUGAGGAGAAAUAAAAACAAAAAGAUCUCCAGAAAGAAGCCAUGGUAAGAUUCAAGGUUUCACAGUCCAAGCUAAUGCCUGUGGACACUUGACCAAGUGAUCUGAGAAAAUUGGAUUCCUGGCAAAACAAGUGUACCUAGACUCAGGCAAGGGUGGAGCACAGAGGACGACUAGAUUAAAUGCAAAGACUGCCCAGGCAUCCCAGUGCCCCCCAUUGACGUUCCAGAACUUCGUCAAGACAGUGAUGAGCUACAUGUCCACCUGGAGGAGAGUUCAGGAUCAAGCUCAGAAGCUCACAGCUGCCAGCAAGCACUCUACUACUGAACUGCACCAUCUCUCCAGCCCAUGCUUACUCUUGACUAGCCCCAAAGUAGUCAAUGGUGUGGGCCCUGAAAGGAACUGUAUACCUGCUCUGCCCCUAACUGCUUCUGCCUCUACCUCAAUGUACCGUGACUGUUUGACAAGGUUGCUCUGGCUCAGGCUGAGGAAUUGACUCCACACUUACCCUGACCCCUGGCAUAUCCACAUCUGGUCCUGUGUAGUCACCAACCCCAGGUAUAGGUUAUUUGGUACUGGACAACCAAUUGGAGUGUUGUUUGCGGGGGAGGACCACCUCUCCAGGUAAAAUCUAAACAUCAGAAAAUCAACAACCCAGUUAAAAUAAUCUAGAGCACUAAGCAGAGUAUUCUCAGAAGAAGCACUACAAACGGCUAAGAAACACAAGACUGCUCAAUAUCCUUGGCCAUCAGGGAAACACAGAAGCUCACUUUUCAGUUUCCAUCUUACUGUAGUCAGAAUGGUUAUCAUCAAGAAUGCCAGUGACAUGGAUGUAGAGGACAGAUUCCUUCAUUGUCUUAAGUCUCCAGAAAUAUUGCAGAAGAGGAGUCAGGGACUAAAGGAUGGGAGACAAAAAGGGCUGCAAAGUUCCAUCCUAGAGACUCAGUACAGCCAUUGCAAUGAUGAACUCACAAAAACUGCAUUUACCUGAACUUAGCCUGCUGAAGACAUUGAAAGUAUUUCUAAGUAGCUUUUCCUGUUGUGAAUGUACCUCUCAGCUAGUCCAGUUUCUGGUUCAGAGCUCUUAGGAACAGAGUUGUCUUAAACAUUUGCUUACAGGCACUUGUGUAGAUAUCAGCUGCUUUUUUGGUUAAAUCUCUGAAAUAAAUGCCUAGGCGUUCAAUGGCAAUGUUAUAUCAGUAUGUAUGUAGUUUUAAAAUGAGAAACUGUCAAAUACUUUUGCAGAAUUACUGGACCAUUUUACACCCCUGCCAACAAUGUAAGAUUGAUCCAGCUCCCCACAUUCUCAUAAACACUUGUUUUUGUUUCUUUAAGAAAACAAAUUAACCAUUCCAUUUAUUGAGAAUUCACUUACCAUUCAGUGCAUUGCUUAGAUAUGUAGUAUUCAGUUUUUAGUACACAUACAAGGUUGUAUAUCAAUUACUACUAAUUCCAGAACAUUUCCAUUACCAUAGAAAAAGAAACCCAAUAAAUGGAAUUUUUAUGAAACAC